ensembl:lncRNA
GACAUAGAGGAUGCUCCUCUUCUGUUUUACCUGUUCAUCCAGUACCCUUUUAAAAACAAUACAUCAUGGAAACCAGACACCUGUCAAGACUGCAUCUGCUACAAUGAUAUUGUCACCUGCAAACCCACUCGCUGCCGAAAUCCCCAGUGUGACUUUCAGAGGGGUCAGCGCUUGAGAAUCCCGCCUAACAAGUGUUGUCCAGAAUGUUUUGCACAGUUGCCCGGGAUCUGUCAGCAUGAAGGAAUGGUUUAUGGGCAUGACAGUCAGUGGAGUAAUUCCAAAUGUUCGGUGUGCACAUGCUCUCAUGGGAAGGUGACCUGUGGGCCACGUGCCUGUCCUUCUCUUAGUUGUGGGAAAGACCAGAGUCCUUUCAUCCCAGACGGAGACUGCUGCCCUGUAUGUGCUCACAAUGGAGCCUCCUGCUCUUGGGAAGGCCGUCAGUACAGAGAUGGGGUGGAAUGGACAACCAGCCCCUGUACAAAGUGUCAAUGCAGAAACGGUCACACUGAAUGCCUGGUUGCAGAGUGUCAGCCUGUUACAUGCAAAGCGAAUGAGAACCUGGUUGUCCAGCCAGGACAGUGCUGUCCUCAGUGUGAGCCGGAUCCCUGCAUGGAGGCCGGGAAUGAGCACAAGCACGGCGAGCAGUGGCAGAGGGGCAGCUGUACCACCUGUGUGUGUGAUCGCGGUCAUUCUCGCUGUCAGACAGAGAAGUGCCCUCCUCUCCACUGUGAUAAGGGUCAGAUGAAGAUCAAGCGACCCGGACAGUGCUGCCAAGACUGUGUCUCGUCUAAAGGCAGCUGCCUCUAUGAGGGCAUUGUCCGUUACCAUGGCGAUAUGUGGAACGGCACAGGUUGUGAGUUCUGUAUGUGUGAACGGGGUCAGGUCCUGUGCCAAAGGGUCGAGUGCGCCAGAAUAGAGUGCCCACAGGGAGAAAAACUGGUCCAUUUGCCUGGGAAAUGCUGCCCAGAGUGUAAGACAACAACCAGUUCCUGUACAUAUUCACAGCCACAUCAAAAGGGGCAGAAAGCCAGCAUCAAGAGUUUCAGACGCCUCUCUAAUCUAGAGAGCAUCAGAGAGGGUCUGUGUCGCAUGUGCCAGUGUCAGGAGGGUCAUGUGACCUGUUACCAGCACUCCUGUCCCACCUGUCCAUUGGGCACCCUAACUAUACCUCACCCUGAGCAGUGCUGUCCGGACUGCAAUCCAGCAGUGCAGUGUCACGAGGACUGUUUGACAUGCUCUGGCACACCAGAUCACUGUGACAGCUGUCAGGACCCUUCUGCCCUGUUGAUGAAUGGACGCUGUCUGCAGUCAUGUCCUGAAGGCUUUUUCGCUCAGGGCAAAGUUUGUGCAGCCUGCCAGCCGUCAUGUGCCACCUGUGAGAAUGACUUUGAAUGCACAGCAUGUGGUGGGUCCUUUCUCCUCAGUGGCAGGCAAUGUGUGACCACCUGUGAGAGAGGUCUGUUCCAGGACCACACACGCUGUCUCAGUUGCCAUGACUCCUGUUCAUCUUGCCAGGGGGCGGGGCCUCAGGAUUGUUUGACAUGCUCAGACCCCUCUCACUUACUGAAGGAUGGAUUCUGUGUUCUGGAUUGUGGUCCAGGCUUUUAUGCUAAUCAAGGCAGCUGUUAUGCUUGUGACCCUUCCUGUGCAACCUGUCAACCCGACAGCCCCAGUUGCAUGAGCUGCCCCCCUGAACAUGCACUGCAUCAGGGGAAAUGUGUGCCACAAUGUCCACCACAGUAUUACAAGGAAGACCAUGGCCGUUGCCAAGCCUGCCACAGUUCGUGUGCAUCCUGCUCAGGGCCAGCUGUGUCUCACUGCACCUCCUGCUCAAAGUCUCUCAUCCUGAACCAAGGCCAGUGUGUGGAGUCCUGCGGAGAGGGCCUAUUCUCCAGAGGGGGACACUGUCACAGGUGUCAUGCGUCAUGUAGGCUCUGUGUGGGUCCGGAUUCCUCAGACUGCAUGCAGUGUGUCAAACACGAAGAGGUUCUGCAGCCUCAGAAUGGGCAUGUCUCUCACGGGUCCUGUAUGUCUGCCUGCAGGCCACAGCAUUACCUUGAUGCAGAUCAGACCUGCAGAGAAUGUCACAUCUCAUGUUCAGGCUGCUCUGGUGGAAGUUUCCAGAACUGUACUUCCUGUAUACGUCCCAGUGUCUUUCAUCAAGGGCAGUGUCUUGAUAAAUGUCCCCAUGGAUUCCAUGUUCAGGACCGUACUUGCAAAGCUUGUCAUCCAUCAUGUAAGGAGUGUAAGGGCCCAUCUCAGGCUGACUGUUCUGCUUGUCCGGCCCACGCCAGUCUGCAUAACGGCUACUGCCGAACCAGCUGUCCUGAGGGCCAGUACCUGAAUGCUGUAGGCUACUGCAUUGAGUGUGAGGAGGGAUGUCAGCGGUGUGUGGCAGACCUGCAGUCUGGCUUUGGCACUGUGUGUUUGUGGUGUAAGUCUCCCAGGAUGCUGCUGCUGGGAGAUCACUGUGUACCACAGUGCCCACCCAAAUACUACCGGUGGCACGGAGCUUGCAAAAAAUGUCACUCUUCCUGUGAGGAGUGCAGUGGGGAUGGUCCUCACUCCUGUACUUCCUGUCUGGCCCCUGAGGUUCUGGCCUCAUCAGGACUCUGCAGCUCUCGCUGUCCAUAUGGAUAUUACGCUGAUGAAAACAGGGUGUGCCAAAUGUGUGACACUCAGUGUCUGAGCUGUGAGAUGGCGGGUGUGUGUACGUCAUGUAGAGAUCCAGCUAAAGUGCUUCUGUUUGGGGAGUGUCAGUAUGAGAGCUGUGCUCAUCAGUACUACCUGAACACCACCACACGCACAUGCAGAGAGUGCGACUGGAGCUGUAACGCGUGCCGCGGACCCCUGCGUAGUGACUGUCUGCAGUGCAUGGAGGGAUACGUCCUGCAGGAUGGCAUUUGUGUGCCGGGUUGCUCGCCGGGAUUCUACCAGGAUGCUGAGAGAUGUCUGAGCUGUGAUGAGCAUUGCGAGCAGUGCCAGGUUCAUGGCCAAUGCCAACGCUGCCAGCUGCCAUAUGCCAUGUUGAAUGGGCAGUGUGUGCUGGAAUGCGGCAAGCGCUACUUUCUAGAUGCCUCGAUCCGUCAGUGCACCACAUGCUCAGCUGGAUGCUUGGAGUGUGUGAGUGCAGGUGAGUGCCGUGUCUGUGCUGAGAACUCCUUCCUGAAGGGUGGCCAGUGCAUCGUGGACUGUGGUCACGGAUACUAUGCUGACCGAAAAACAAGAGUCUGUCGUGCAAACAGCCGUGCUCCAUCUCUUUACAUCAAUGGCUCUCUGCUGGUUCCUAUUGGUGGAGUUAAGCCUCUGGAUGCAGCACUCCUGUCAAUCAAGGAUGCAGAUAGCCAAUCAGAAAGCAUGUUGCUCCAGCUCCUUCAGCCACCCAGUAACGGCCAUCUCGUGGUCCUGGAAAAUGACAGAGAGAGAGCACUGGGAAGAGACGACACUUUCACCUUGACUCAGCUCAAACGUAGAGCUGUGCGCUUUAUUCACGACAAAGAGCAGCCCAAAAGUGGGCAGUUCAUGUUAAGGGCAGCAGAUCCUCAGCUGUUCUCUCAGCCUCAGAGUGUUCCAGUGCAGGCGGUCUCCCAAACUGCAAUUUUUCUCUCCCUUGAUAAUCCACAAGACAUUUUCAUCACGGUUCUGGAUCCACCUGAACAUGGCCACCUGAAACACAAGCAUGGUGAUGUGCAGGUGACCCAUUUUAAACUGGAAGACCUGGAGCAUGAGCAGCUGCAGUAUGUACAUGACAGUUCAGAAGGAGACCAGGACAGACUUCUGCUGCAGGUCAAUGAUGGGCACAGCUACCAGAACAUCCUGUUUCACAUCAGCAUUGCGCAAAAGGUUGGAUUGACUCCUCACCUGCGUUCAGUGCCCAGGACCUGGGUGAGGGAGGGAGGAAUGGUGCAGCUGUCUAAGAAGUGCCUCAAUGCUCAGUUCCAAGGAACCAGUGACUCUGAAAUCCUGUACACCAUCCAUUCUGAGAGUGGACAGCCCAGAUACGGAGAGAUUGUGCUGGUGUCUAUGCCUGCUGAUGGUCCUGUGGAGGCAUGGCAGUCCUUCCCAGAUGCUCAGAACACCACACCAACCAGCUCAUUUACGCAGCAAGAUGUUAAUGAAGGGACUGUCUGGUACAGACACUAUGGAUCCGGAUCACAGAGAGACACUUUUCAGUUUCAGGUUUCAAGUGAGGUCUAUCCAGAGCCUCUGAGUGAUACGCAGACCUUCACUAUAGGAGUGAUGCCUCAGACCCCUGGCCUGCCUCAGCUCUCACCUGGAGCCGACCUGCAGAUCACUGCACUGGAAGAUCGCGUGACUGUGAUAUCUCCUUCUGCUCUCUCCUUCACUGACUCGGAGACACCCAGCAACAAGCUUGUCUACAACAUCACCAAAGUGCUUACCUCAGGCCACGGUACGCUGGAGCACAGGGACAGACCUUACCAUCAUGUGCGUCUCUUCACACAGGCUGAUGUAGACAGUGGCAAAAUUAUCUACAGACCCCCACAAGCCCCGUCCCACCUUCAGGAGCUUUAUCAGUACUCAUUUACAGGUCUACCAGAGUCAGUGAGCCUCCAUUUCACAGUUUCUGAUGGAGAGCACACCACUCCAGAGAUGGACUUUGCUAUUCUGCUGCUGGCCAAUCAUCAGCAGCCCCCGGUCUUUCAGAUUCUGGAUCCGGUGCUGGAGGUCAGUCUCGGUGGCAGGGCACCAGUGGGUGGGCAACAGUUAGCAGUGACGGAUGCUGAUACGGCCCCUGAAGAUCUAGAGUUUGAAUUGGUGGAGGGGCCGCUACACGGGGCCCUCCUGAGAGUGGACCUUGGUUCCCAGGUCCAGAUGGUUAACGGGGACACCUUCACCUCCAGUGACGUCACCAGGAAUGUUCUGCAGUACGAGCAUGCGGGUCUCACCACUGAGGAGGACUCCAUGACUUUCUCUGUGACUGACGGGAUCUCCUUGACCUCCAUCACAUUGCAGGUCUUGGUGUCAGAGGUCAAAGGUGACGCACCUAAACGUGACCCUAAGGCCCUGCUGUCAAUGGAGGUGGCAGAGAAGAGCAGCACCAUCAUUAGACGUUCACAGUUAGCUUAUGUGGAUGUCGAAUCUCCCGAUGAGAAAGUUUUUGUGCAGUUAGUUUCUGUACCAAUGUAUGGGAUCCUUACCAAAACCAAGGCUGAAGCAGACAGUGAGGAGCUUAGUGAAUAUUCCUCCUUUACAAUGGAGGACAUCAACAACCACAAAAUCAGGUAUGUUACAUCCUUUGAAACAGGCAACCAGCCUGUCACUGACAUUUUCCACUUCGUUGUCUAUGAUGGUGAGAACAAUCGUCUGGAGAACCAGAUGUUCACUAUCACCAUCACGUCUGCCCAGAGGCAGCCACCUGUUGUCACUGUGCGCAGCGGCAUUAAGGUUCAAGAAGGAGGGAGGGUCCAGCUCUCAGCUAAUCACAUUAUUGCAUCUGACCCAGACACACCCAGAAAGGAUCUGCUGGUGUGGCUAAUCGGCCCACCAAAGUAUGGCUUUAUUGAGAACACAAAACAAGCAGCGAUUGGUGGAUCUCGCGUGAUCAGCCCCGACGUCCCUUUCACUAUAGAAGACCUCACCUCAGACCACAUCUUCUAUGUUCAAAACAUCCGCCAAGCUAACAUCCGCCAGGAUGUCUUCAGCUUUUACAUCAGUGAUGGAUCAAGUCAAACUGAGGCUUUUGAUAUCACCAUAGACAUCCAGCACACCAAGGAAGACAGAGUCCCAGUUAUCUCAGUAAACAGCAUCCAAGUGGAGGAGAACUCCGGUGUGGUCAUCACUAACUCCUCCCUGAAUGUGCUGGACCAGGACACACCUGAAAAUGAGCUUCUCUUCACCCUCAUUAAGAAGCCAUCAUAUGGGAAGCUACGCAGAAGGCAGUUCUACUCUCAACCUUUAGAGAAUGGCAGGAUUCUUCAGCAAGGAUCCACCUUUACUUACCAGGAUGUUCUAGAUGAGCUGCUGGUCUACACCCCAGACGGACGUGGCUCUGGGACAGAUGAGAUCCAGUUUUCAGUAACAAAUGGCAUAUACACAGAGACCGGCCGUCUGGAGUUCAGCAUGGAUAUUAGGAAGCGAGAAGGCCCUAGAGUCACAGUCAACAGAGGACUACAGAUUGCAGCAGGUUCCUCAUCUAAGAUCACAGAGCAGCAUCUGAAAGGGACGGACGUAGAUUCAGAUAACCUUAAGCUGCGGUUCACCCUCACUAAAGACCCAAGCAUGGGCUCCCUGCUGCUGAAUACAGGCAGAAACAAGGCUCAGAUAUCCGUCAAAGGACCUGUCACCAGCUUCACCCAGGAUGAUAUCAACAAAGGACAUGUGGAAUACAUUCAUGAAAAGGGAGAAAGUGGAGGCAGCUUCUCUUUCAAGUUCAACCUGGAAGAUCCCGAGGGAAACAGAGCCAUUGACCAAUCUUUCUUCAUUAGUGUUCUGGAGGACAGACUUCCUCCCACAGUAGUGGUUAAUAAGGGUUUGGUUAUGGAUGAGAACACCUUGAAGAAGAUCACAACACUGCAGCUGUCCUCUACAGAUCAGGACAGUGAACCAGAUGAACUCAUUUACAGAGUCACCAAACAGCCCCAGCUUGGCCAUCUAGAACAUUCCAGCAAACCAGGUACAGACAAAACUUGUUAUGAUAAGUCAGCUUUCAAAAUAAUGCAGCCAUUUAUAACAAGCUACUUUUUUCCAUCUACAGUAGCAUCACCGUAUAGUAACAAAAAUUGUAAAUCACUCUUAAAUAUUUCACAGACAUUCUAUAUCACCAUCCGGCCGGUGGACGACUCUCUGCCCGUCCUGCAGGUGCCAGGGAUGAGGGUGCAGGAAGGAGUGAGGAAGACCAUCACUGAGUUUGAGCUGAAGGCUACCGAUGCUGACACAGAGGAGGACUCUGUUACGUUUACUAUUGUUCAGGCUCCUCGUCACGGGACCAUUGAGCGCACAAGUAAUGGUCAGCAUUACCGUCAGACCAACACCUUCACUAUGGACGACAUCUAUCAGAACCGCAUCAGUUACAGCCAUGACGGCAGUAACUCCCUCAAAGACCGAUUCACCUUCACUGUCAGUGAUGGCACCAACAUGUUCUUCAUCAUCGAAGAGGGUGGAAAAGAGGUUGUCACCGCUGCUCCACAAAAGUUUAAAAUCGAUAUUUUACCUGUUGAUGACGGGACCCCUCGUAUUGUCACCAACCUGGGCCUGCAGUGGCUGGAGUACAUGGAAAAUAAGGCCACCAAUCUGAUCACCAAGAAAGAGCUUCUCACUAUUGAUCCAGACACAGAUGAUGGACAGCUGACUUAUGAAGUCACUACAGAAGCUAAACACGGCUACCUGGAGAGUAAACUCAAUCCUGGCAAACCUAUCACCUCUUUUACUCAAGCUGACAUAAACCUGGGCCUUAUCAGAUACGUUCUGAGUGAGGACAAUAUUCAAGAGACCAUGGACAACUUCAGGUUCCUUGUGAAGGACAGCAAACCCAACAUUGUCAGUGACAAUGUGUUUCACAUCCAGUGGUCUCUUAUCAGCUUUGAGCACAAGAGCUACAACGUGAGUGAAAAAGAUGGAACCGUGGCGGUCACAGUGAAGAGGACUGGGAAUCUGAACCAGUAUGCUAUUGUGCUGUGUCGUACCGAGCAAGGCACUGCCACCUCCACCUCCAGCAUGGGCUCUCGGGCCGGACAACAGGACUAUGUUGAGUAUGCUGGACAAGUUCAGUUUGAUGAGAGAGAAGAUACCAAGGUGUGCACCAUUGUGAUCAAUGAUGACCAGGUCUUUGAGAACAUUGAGAGCUUUAAAGUGGAGCUGAGUAUGCCAGUGUAUGCCCUGCUGGGGUCAGUGACCCGCGCUAAAGUCAAUAUCAAUGACACCGAGGAUGAACCCACCCUGCAGUUUGAUAAGAAGACCUACCAUGUCAAUGAGAGCAAAGGCUUUAUCUUUGCUCCUGUUGAAAGAAAGGGAGACACCAGCAGCACAGUCUCAGCCCUCUGCUACACUGUGCCUAAGUCAGCCCGGGGCAGCAGCCUGCACGCUCUCGAGUCCGGCUCUGACUAUAAGACCCGUGGCAUGAGCAGUGACAACAGAGUCAUCUUUGGCCCAGGUGUGAGCAUGUCUACCUGUGAUGUAAAGCUGAUUGAUGACAGCGAGUAUGAACUCUCUGAGGAGUUUGAGCUGGUGCUGUCAGAUGCCUCGGACAAUGCAAGGAUGGGUGAUGUCACUGUGGCUAAAGUCAUUAUAGAUGGGCCAAAUGAUGCCUCCACUGUCUUCCUGGGCAACGCGUCCUUCACCUUCAGUGAAGAUGCAGGCACCAUUGAAAUCCCUGUUCUGCGGCAGGGCAGUGACCUUUCCUCAGUAACCUCUGUGUGGUGUGCCACACGUCCUGCUGAACAAGAUUCAGCCACGCCCAGUGUUGACUACAUCCCGAGCUCCAAAAAGGUGGAGUUUAGACCAGGAAAGACCGAGGAGACAUGUAGUUUGACCAUAAUGGAUGACAUUCAGAACCCGACAAUCGAAGGGAAAGAAUCCUUCAUUGUGUUUCUUAGUUCUCCCAACGGAGCGGUCCUGACUGAACCAUAUGAAGCCUCUGUCUACAUCACUGACACCACUCAAGACAUACCUAGCAUGCAAUUUGAAAAGCUGGCGUAUACGGUGAAGGAAAAAGAUGGUGUCCUGCACAUCCCAAUUUUUAGGACAGGAGAUCUGUCCUAUAAGUCUUCUGUCCGUUGCUUCACACGCACAAUGUCUGCUGUGGUGAUGGAUGACUUUGAGGAGAGGAGAAAUGCUGAUGAUUCCAGAAUCACCUUCCGGAAAGGGGAAAAGGUAUGGUUUCUUUUUCCUCUUGGUUCUGAUUGCCCACAGGGGGACCACUGGAUUGGAGCCAUGAUUGGAGUCAACGACAUUGUGACUGUGACCAUCACAAAUGAUGAAGAUGCACCUACGAUCGAGUUUGAACAAGCCUUAUACCAAGUUCGUGAGCCCCCUGGUCCAGAUGGAAUUGAGGUUUUGAAUAUCAAGGUGAUCCGUAAAGGAGACCUUGACCGCACAUCCAAGAUCCGAUGCAGCACAAGGGAUGGAUCAGCCCAGUCAGGUGUAGACUAUAACCCCAAGAGUCGAGUCCUUAAGUUCAGCCCUGGUGUGGACCACAUCCUGUUUAAGGUAGAGAUCCUGUCCAGUGAAGAUAGAGAGUGGCAUGAAUCUUUCUCAUUGGUCCUUGGUCCAGAUGACCCUGUUGAAGCGGUGCUUGGAGAGAUAACCAUGGCAACAGUCACCAUCCUAGAUCAGGAAGCUGCAGGAAGUCUCAUCCUUCCAGCCCCACCCAUUGUGGUGUCUCUGUCAGACUAUGACUAUGUCCAGGAGGUCACUAAAGAGGGCAGUAAGAAAUCUCCAUCUCCUGGAUAUCCUCUGGUCUGUGUGACUCCCUGUGACCCCCAUUACCCCAAAUACUCAGUCAUGAGAGAACGCUGUGAGGAGGCUGGCAUCAACCAGACCUCCGUCCACUUCAGCUGGGAGGUUGCAACUCCCACAGACACCAGCGGAGCACGAUCACCCUUUGAGACAGUGACAGAUAACACACCUUACACAACAGUCAAUCACAUGGUUCUGGACAGUAUAUAUUUCAGCAGACGUUUCCAUGUGCGUUGCGUAGCUCAGGCCAGAGAUAAAGCCGGGCACCUAGGAACUCCACUGAGGAGCAACAUUGUCACUAUUGGCACUGAGGGAUCAAUAUGCCACACCCCCGUCACCACAGGAACCGCUCGAGGCUUUCAGGCCCAGUCCUUUAUUGCCACUCUAAAAUAUUUAGAUGUCAAACACAAAGAGAACCCAAACAGGAUCCAUAUCUCAGUGCAGAUCCCUCAUCAGGAUGGAAUGCUUCCACUGGUGUCCACCAUGCCUCUGCAUAACCUACACUUCCUGCUCUCCGAGUCUAUUUACCGUCAGCAGCACGUCUGCUCCAACCUGGUCACACUUAAAGACCUGCAUGGCAUAUCUGAAACUGGCUUCUUGGAUGAUGUGUCGUAUGACAGCAUAUCCCUAGGUCCCGGAUAUGACCGUCCAUACCAAUUCAACCCUAGUGUUCGAGAACCCAGAACCAUCCAGCUAUACGAGCAUCUCAAUCUGAAGAGCUGCAUAUGGACAUUUGAUGCGUACUAUGACAUGACCGAGCUUAUCGAUGUUUGUGGAGGAUCAGUAACUGCUGACUUUCAGGUCAGAGACUCGGCUCAGUCGUUCCUGACGGUGCAGGUGCCGCUCUACGUGUCCUAUAUCUAUGUGACGGCUCCUCGUGGAUGGGCCUCCCUAGAGCACCACACAGAGAUGGAGUUCUCCUUCUUCUAUGACACGGUCUUGUGGAGAACAGGCAUCCAGACAGACAGCGUACUGUCAGCUAGAUUACAGAUCAUUCGGAUCUUCAUUAGAGAGGAUGGACGAAUGGUGAUUGAGUUCAAAACCCACGCCAAGUUCAGAGGUCAAUUUGUCCCUGAACAUCACACCCUCCCUGGACAGAAAUCUCAUCUGAUGGCUCCAGAUCACUUGGGAGGCAUUGAAUUUGACCUGCAGCUGAUGUGGAGCGCACAGUCCUUUGAUUCACCCUACCAGCUCUGGAGAGCCACAAGCUCUUACAGCAGGAAAGACUACUCUGGGGAGUACACAGUCUUCCUCAUCCCAUGCACAGUACAGCCAACCCAGGCAUGGGUCGACUCUGGGGAUAAGCCUCUUUCCUGCACGGCCCAUGCUCCAGAGAAAUUCCUGCUCCCCAUCGCCUUCCAGCAGACGAACCGCCCUGUUCCUGUAGUCUACUCCCUGAAUACUGAGUUCCAGCUUUGUAACAAUGAAAAAGUCUUUCUAAUGGAUCCUGCUCUUGCAGACAUGUCUGUUGCUGAGAUGGACUAUAAAGGAGCCUUUUCGAUGGGUCAAACACUGUAUGGCAGAGUGCUGUGGAAUCCCGAGCAGAACUUGAAUAGGGCCUACAAGCUGCAGCUGGAGAAAGUAUAUUUGUGUACAGGGCGGGAUGGCUAUGUACCCUUCUUCGACCCCACAGGCACCCUGUAUAACGAAGGCCCUCAGUAUGGCUGCAUUCAACCGAACAAGCACCUCAAACACAGGUUCCUGCUUCUGGACCGGAAGCAGCCUGAUGUCUGUGACCGCUUCUUCCAUGAUGUUCCAUUUGAAGCCAACUUUGCAUCCGACAUUCCUGAUCUCCAGUCCUUGUCUGCGAUGCCAGGUGUAGAUGGUUUCACAAUGAAGGUGGAUGCCCUUUAUAAGGUUGAAGCAGGGCACCAGUGGUACCUCCAGGUCAUCUACGUUAUUGGACCGGAGUCCAUAUCUGCUCCCAGAAUCCAGCGUUCAGUGACCUAUGAGCUCAAGCGAAGUCGCCGAGAUCUGGUGGACCACUCAGGUCGUCUAAUGCUGGAUGAAUCCCUAAUCUACGACAAUGAAGGUGACCAGGUAAAGAAUGGCACCAACAUGAAGACCUUGAAGCUUGAGGUGGAACCAUCGGGCACCUUUAAUCCCCAGUUGGGAGGAUCCAUUGGUGGUGGCAUGGCAGCCAUCGUCCUACUUCUCCUGGUCCUUCUAGCCUUCUGCUUCAUGGUCAGAAAGUGCCGUAGGGUUGUACAAAAGAGGCCUACGAAGGCAGUGGAGGAUUAUCCUCUGAACACAAAGGUGGAGGUCUGUAUAGAACGUCUGGAGAAAAACCUCAACAGCAAGCACUGCUCUGUAAGAAAUGUCAAUGUCCUUAACAAGAACCCAGAGACCUACAAGAUCAAUGGGGUCAAGGUCAAACAGGUCAAUUUGGAGGUCAAACUACACAACAAUCUGAAUGACGGCACUGAAGUCUGA